UACGUAGGGUGCGAGCGUUAAUCGGAAUUACUGGGCGUAAAGCGUGCGCAGGCGGUUUUGUAAGUCAGAUGUGAAAUCCCAGGGCUUAACCUUGGAACUGCAUUUUUAACUGCCGGGCUAGAGUAUGUCAGAGGGGGGUAGAAUUCCACGUGUAGCAGUGAAAUGCGUAGAGAUGUGGAGGAAUACCGAUGGCGAAGGCAGCCCCCUGGGAUAAUACUGACGCUCAUGCACGAAAGCGUGGGGAGCAAACAGG
rnacentral:rRNA from 1 species